UACAGAGGUCUCAAGCGUUGUUCGGAUUCAUUGGGCGUAAAGGGCGCGUAGGCGGCCGCCUAAAUCAGACGUGAAAUCCCUCGGCUCAACCGGGGUACUGCGUCUGAUACUGGGUGACUUGAAUUCGGGAGAGGGAUGCGGAAUUCCAGGUGUAGCGGUGAAAUGCGUAGAUAUCUGGAGGAACACCGGUGGCGAAGGCGGCAUCCUGGACCGAGAUUGACGCUGAGGCGCGAAAGCCAGGGGAGCAAACGGG
rnacentral:rRNA from 1 species